CAAGAAAAGAAGUGCCUUUCUCACCAGUUUUCAGGUUAACUGAGUUGUCAAGACCGGAUAGUAUCGGCCAAAGCUGGGGCUCUUAUCCGGAUCCACAGUGACUUGGGGGACACUCUCUGCCUCCUGGAGGGAAUGUGGAGGAGACCCUUGACCCUGACCUGUGGGGUCUACAGGGGAAGUAGAGGCCAAAGACCGUGUUCAGGCCCCAAUGCCCCGAUCAUUCUGGAGAUGGCAAUGGAAAGCGGACACUUCCUGAGCUUCUGUCUCUUGGGGCCCAGCUCCAGUUCCAGAGGGAAGCCUAAGGCUACAGCUGUCCCCCUGAGAGGCCCUGCCACUGAGAACAUCAGCCGUAGACAAUGCCACCUUGCUGAUGAAGGCUAAGAGCAGGGGUCAGAUAGUGGCAGCUGCUGGAUACACCCUCAGGAAUCCGAAAUCUCUGUUCCUUCACACACUUCGCCAGAAACUCCCCUCGCCUCCGAAACAGCCCCAGCACCUCGACGUGCGAUGGCAGCCCGGGUCAGGAGCCGGGGAGUGGGGUUCACACGCAGGAGGCCUUCCCUUGGCAAGAAACAGCAGUGAGACCCUUUCCAGGGCUGGGCCCCGCUUUCCACACCUGGUAGGGAACGUUCUUUCAGCCACAAAAGAGGUACGACCAUUACUACCGUCUUUUUCUUUUCUUUCCUUUUUAAAAAAGUC